CCUACAGGCGGCAGCAGUGGGGAAUAUUGGACAAUGGGGGGAACCCUGAUCCAGCCAUGCCGCGUGUGUGAAGAAGGCCCUCGGGUUGUAAAGCACUUUCAGUGAGGAAGAACGCCUGGUGGUUAAUACCCAUCAGGAAAGACAUCACUCACAGAAGAAGCACCGGCUAACUCCGUGCCAGCAGCCGCGGUAAUACGGAGGGUGCGAGCGUUAAUCGGAAUUACUGGGCGUAAAGCGCGCGUAGGUGGCUUGAUAAGCCGGUUGUGAAAGCCCCGGGCUCAACCUGGGAACGGCAUCCGGAACUGUCAAGCUAGAGUGCAGGAGAGGAAGGUAGAAUUCCCGGUGUAGCGGUGAAAUGCGUAGAGAUCGGGAGGAAUACCAGUGGCGAAGGCGGCCUUCUGGACUGACACUGACACUGAGGUGCGAAAGCGUGGGUAGCAAACAGGAUUAGAUACCCUGGUAGUC
rnacentral:rRNA from 1 species